AGGAGAGCCCGGAGCCGCUCCAGGCUCUUCGGCUGCCGCCUCCUCCGAGAACGUCGCCGCCCCAGGACCGGCCUCGGCAACUGCCCCCACAGGAGCCCAGCGCACAGUCUCGCAUGGUGGCAGCGACUCCUCCUCGUCUUCUUCUUCUUCCUCGUCCUUCGCCUUAGGCCCGACAGCAGUCACUACUGUUCCCAGCUCCGUAGCCACUUCCACCGUCGCCAUCUUCCCGGAAACGCCGCCGCACGUCAGUUGCGCCCCCUUGCUGCCAUGGCAACGGGCUCUGGCAGCGAAGCCUGGAUUGAGUGGUGGGCGGGGCUUGCACGCCUCCAAUCCGGGGAGGGACCGCCCCUCCCCCUCGGGACUUCUUUAAUGCAUUUUGUGAAUUAGAUACAGGAAUACUUAGCGUUGGAGGAACAAGUGAAUGAAACCAAGAACAAGUAAUAUCCUACCUACAGGGUCUAGAGUAGCCCUUUCCCUGGACAAAGAGGGUAGAUAUUGUAUUCCUGAUCUGUUUAUAUCUGAAGACCCCCGAGAUGUAGUAAACGCUCCCAGAGUCAUGGAAGUCACUUUUACUGUCAAGCCACCUUUCCCUCCCUCUCAACCCUUCCUCCUACCAUAUAAGGAGAGGCAGCUGCUAGAGGCCUUCUAGGAUCUAAAGAUAGAGGCCUUUCUUGGGACUCCAAAAGCCACGGGGCAGCUUGGAGCCACCAUGGAACGG
rnacentral:lncRNA from 1 species